rnacentral:rRNA from 1 species
UACGUAGGGGGCUAGCGUUGUCCGGAAUCAUUGGGCGUAAAGAGCGUGUAGGCGGCCCGGUAAGUCCGCUGUGAAAGUCAAAGGCUCAACCUUUGAAUGUCAGCGGAUACUGCCGGGCUAGAGUCCGGAAGAGGCGAGUGGAACUCCUGGUGUAGCGGUGGAAUGCGCAGAUAUCAGGAGGAACACCGGUGGCGAAGGCGGGGUCCUGGGCCAGUACUGACGCUGAGGAGCGAAAGCGUGGGGAGCAAACAGG